rnacentral:misc_RNA from 1 species
AGAUACAUCAAGCCAUACCAGUGAAGCGCGACGGGCCCAAUUGAGAAAAUGACCGGAUCAAAGUCCGGAAAAUGCAGAUAGCUACUGGUCAUCUGUCACCACAAUUUCUUGUUAUUUCGCUGAAGAGAUAGCGAUUGAUAAGCGCGCCUGCGCGUUGCAGACGCUCCAAAGGUGCGAAUAAUAGCACAAGGGUUAAAAGCGAGAUGCCGAUUACCGUUAAAAGAUAUGUAUACGCAUUGUCUUUCAUCUUGCAGGCGUGUUGUCUGCGCCGUGAAUCCACAGUCACUCUCUUUUCCCGCUCCAGUCGUUACAACCCUCCGCGAAUCAAUCCCCCCAUCCCGCGGCGCUCCAUAAACGCCGCCACCUGAUGACGCACUUCGGUCGCCAUCUGCGCCUCAAGGCUGCGUCUGGCAAGAGUUUGCGCGUCUUCAAAAUCGAUAUGCCGCAGCAGAUAUUUCACA